GACGAGCGCUGGCGGCGUGCUUAACACAUGCCAGUCGAACGGAAAGGCCCUGCUUUUGUGGGGUGCUCGAGUGGCGAACGGGUGAGUAACACGUGAGUAACCUGCCCUUGACUUUGGGAUAACUUCAGGAAACUGGGGCUAAUACCGGAUAGGGGCUCCUGCUGCAUGGUGGGGGUUGGAAAGUUUCGGCGGUUGGGGAUGGACUCGCGGCUUAUCAGCUUGUUGGUGGGGUAGUGGCUUACCAAGGCUUUGACGGGUAGCCGGCCUGAGAGGGUGACCGGCCACAUUGGGACUGAGAUACGGCCCAGACUCCUACGGGAGGCAGCAGUGGGGAAUAUUGCACAAUGGGCGGAAGCCUGAUGCAGCAACGCCGCGUGCGGGAUGACGGCCUUCGGGUUGUAAACCGCUUUCGCCUGUGACGAAGCGUGAGUGACGGUAAUGGGUAAAGAAGCACCGGCUAACUACGUG
rnacentral:rRNA from 1 species